rnacentral:rRNA from 1 species
AUUGAACGCUGGCGGAAUGCUUUACACAUGCAAGUCGAACGGCAGCACGGGGGCAACCCUGGUGGCGAGUGGCGAACGGGUGAGUAAUACAUCGGAACGUGCCCGGUCGUGGGGGAUAACGUAGCGAAAGUUACGCUAAUACCGCAUACGAUCUGAGGAUGAAAGCGGGGGACCUUCGGGCCUCGCGCGAUCGGAGCGGCCGAUGUCAGAUUAGGUAGUUGGUGGGGUAAAGGCCUACCAAGCCGACGAUCUGUAGCUGGUCUGAGAGGACGACCAGCCACACUGGGACUGAGACACGGCCCAGACUCCUACGGGAGGCAGCAGUGGGGAAUGUUGGACAAUGGGCGCAAGCCUGAUCCAGCCAUUCCGCGUGCAGGACGAAGGCCUUCGGGUUGUAAACUGCUUUUGUAUGGAACGAAAAGGCUCUGGCUAAUACCUGGGGCUCAUGACGGUACCGUAAGAAUAAGCACCGGCUAACUACGUG